rnacentral:lncRNA from 12 species
AUUUAUACAGAAAUGAUCAUACUGUGCACAGUGUGCAUACCGAGUACUACAAAAACAGUAAGUGGUAUGCUGUUCUCAACACACUAGAAGAAUUGAUUAUUUAGGAGGAAUUUGGUAUGUCCUCCACACAUUUACAGCCUCUAGAGGGCAGCAAAACUCUCGUACACAUUUCAUUUAGGUUUGACACUUGGUGGCCCAAAUCUAAUCAUUUGUCUGUAAGGAUAGUCGGAUAGAUGUGUACUUGCAUGUUAUUUAUUUGAACACUGUACGCCAUUUAUAAAUAUUGGACACAGCAUGGUAUACAUCUGGCCCACACUCACACACACACACACACACACACACACACACACAUAUAUGCUAGUCAACAUUUGAAAUGGCUCAAAACCUUUUAUCAAAGUUGUCCUAAAUCCUAAAAGCGUUUGAACUUUGAUUAACUUUUUUUAUCCACUUAAAAUGUUGACUACUGUGUGUAUGUAUAUACAUUAAUAUAAGUUUUAUUAUAUAAGUAUAAUAUANGACAUUUGCUUAUAAAAUUGCUUUAACGAUUAUGUGCUCUUAAAGCACGCGUGCAAGCAAGACGUUUGGGCCUUUACAGCAGAGAGUUACACACGCACACAUUUCAGGAUCCAGCGUCCGGCUGUAUGUGUCCCUGAAAAGUAAAUGCGAAAUCAGCAGCACUCAAAUCACAUUUCUUGGACAUGGAAGGGGGCGAUUCCUGACUGUGCAGCUUAACUGAACCUUUUAAGACGGCUCCAAGAAAUCCACACACUAUUCGCUCGCCUUGCUCCAUGGUGACACCCACAUCUCUGGCAGCUUAGCGAUUUACAUUUUAGCAUAAUGCCAGCCAUAGAGGAGGCACAAGGCAAGGGCGAUAAGUUACAAAGUGCUCCGGGGGUAAACCUUGUAAGAGAGGUUUUGGAGCUAUUUACAGUGCUUCAGAAAUCCUUCAAAGAUGCGCCAAUUGGGGAGGAGAUUGUUCGCAGCAGUGCAUGCUUCGCGCACAAAACGCAACACAAUGCGCGAGGAGCGCGACGUGACCAGAUGGCACUAAUUCGAAUAUCCUCAUUUUAUCGCAUGCUUUUGAGGGGAAAAAAUGUGGUCGGGGGAGAGAGAGUAUUCAAACGUGGAGCGGCCCAGACAAUAAGAAGAAGCGGGCGUGCUCUGAAUAGCCCAAUCUCUGCGCAGGCCAAUCCGCUGGCGUCCCUCGGCCGGUAAACAGGGGCGGACCUCCCGCCGAAACAGAGAAAGAGCUCAGAAGAGUCGGUGUUUUCCUGCAGAAAGUUUGCGUAACUCUCACUUUGCUUCAUGUAGCAUUGCUCAGACGAUGCACGGUGCGUAUUGAGUUUUGAGUAUUGAGGUGACUGUUGACACACAGUAGAAAGAAA